ACGUACCUGUAGGAGGCAGACCGUAGACCGAGGGGUCAAGGGCACCGUCAUCGCCUAUCCACGCGGCCAGGCCCUCCACGGCCCCUCCUCCCCUUCUCAUCUCAGGCUUUUCCCACUCGGGACCCUCGUCUUGUCCUUCAGGGGAGACCAGCUGUGGCUUUGAAGGGUGAGGCCCUAACUUGCUGGAAGGCAAUGGAUUUAGGCAACGAGGGAUGUGCUGGGCAUCCUGACUGGGCGCUGAGGAGUCUAUGGAUUGUUCCGGCUGGUGACUCUGAGAGGAUAGGUCCUAGCAUUUGCUUAGAGGAUUUGUCUUUGGGGUCAUUGGGAACAUCUCUGCAAACUUUGGUAACAGACUCGACUGCCAGGGAGAACGAUGGCAGGAGGACACCAUUUUCCAGUGGAGAGCACAUAAUGGGGAACCCAAAGACCGACCGUCAUGGUGACCGUGCUUCAGACAGAAUGCCUGAUGUUUCCAUCCUGGCUGAACGCCUUUCUCACUCUUCCUAAGUCCUUUGGUCUGCCCCUCCCCCCUUCUCUGGGCGGCUAACUCGACAUACCAUUAAAUGUGAGCAAUUGUGAGCAA